rnacentral:lncRNA from 1 species
GGGGAAUCGGCUGCGGGUCCUUGGUGUUUCCAGCACCCAGUUUCCCUUCAAGCCGGGUCGCGAUGUACGACUGUAUGGAAACGUUUGCCCCGGGUCCGCGACGGCUGUACGGGGCGGCCGGGCCCGGGGCCGGCUUGCUGCGCAGAGCCACCGGCGGCUCCUGUUUCGCCGGACUUGAAUCUUUUGCCUGGCCGCAACCCGCCAGCCUGCAACGGUGGAGACACAGAGCACCAGCUCAGAGGAGAUGGU